rnacentral:sRNA from 1 species
UCAUGGUCGGCGCUCGCUCCGAGGAGUGGG